rnacentral:rRNA from 1 species
AUUGAACGCUGGCGGCAGGCUUAACACAUGCAAGUCGAGCGAGCGGCGGACGGGUGAGUAAUGUCUGGGAAACUGCCUGCUGGAGGGGGAUAACUACUGGAAACGGUAGCUAAUACCGCUUACCAUCAGUUGUGCCCCGAUGGGAUUAGAUAGUAGGUGGGGUAAUGGCUCACCUAGGAGACGGUCCCUAGCUGGUCUGAGAGGCAGACAGGCCAAACUGGAACUGAGAGACGGUCCAGACGCCUACGGGAGGCAGCAGUGGGGAAUAUUGCACAAUGGGCGCAAGCCUGAUGCAGCCAUGCCGCGUGUGUGAAGAAGGCCUUCGGGUUGUAAAGCACUUUCAGCGAGGAGGCGUUACUCGCAGAAGAAGCACCGGCUAACUCCGUGCCAGCAGCCGCGGUAAUAC